UGGGGAAUAUUGGACAAUGGGCGGAAGCCUGAUCCAGCAACGCCGCGUGAGGGAUGACGGCCUUCGGGUUGUAAACCUCUUUCAGUACCGACGAAGCGAAAGUGACGGUAGGUACAGAAGAAGGACCGGCCAACUACGUGCCAGCAGCCGCGGUAAUACGUAGGGUCCGAGCGUUGUCCGGAAUUAUUGGGCGUAAAGGGCUCGUAGGCGGUUUGUCGCGUCGGGAGUGAAAACAGCGGGCUUAACUCGUUGCUUGCUUUCGAUACGGGCAGACUAGAGGUAUGCAGGGGAAGAAUGGAAUUCCUGGUGUAGCGGUGAAAUGCGCAGAUAUCAGGAGGAACACCGGUGGCGAAGGCGGUUCUCUGGGCAUUACCUGACGCUGAGGAGCGAAAGUGUGGGGAGCGAACAGGAUUAGAUACCCUGGUAGUCCACACCGUAAACGUUGGGCGCUAGGUGUGGGGUCCUUUCCACGGAUUCCGUGCCGUAGCUAACGCAUUAAGCGCCCCGCCUGGGGGAGUACGGCCGCAAGGCUCAAAAC
rnacentral:rRNA from 1 species